rnacentral:misc_RNA from 1 species
UUAAAAAACGACCUUUUUCGGAAGGUAUGCUUAAAGAGGGGCUUGCGUCACAUUAGUUAGUUGGCAGGGUAAAGGCCUACCAAGACUAUGAUGUGUAGCUGGACUGAGAGGUUGAACAGCCACAUUGGGACUGAGACACGGCCCAAACUCCUACGGGAGGCAGCAGUAGGGAAUUUUCGGCAAUGGAGGAAACUCUGACCGAGCAACGCCGCGUGAACGAUGAAGUAUUUCGGUAUGUAAAGUUCUUUUAUUGAAGAAGAAAAAAUAGUGGAAAAACUAUCUUGACGAUAUUCAAUGAAUAAGCCCCGGCAAACUAUGUGCCAGCAGCCGCGGUAAUACAUAGGGGGCGAGCGUUAUCCGGAAUUAUUGGGCGUAAAGGGUGCGUAGGCGGUUUAAUAAGUCUAUAGUUUAAUUUCAGUGCUUAACACUGUCCUGCUAUAGAAACUAUUAGACUAGAGUGAGAUAGAGGCAAGUGGAAUUCCAUGUGUAGCGGUAAAAUGCGUAUAUAUAUGGAGGAACACCAGAGGCGUAGGCGGCUUGCUGGGUCUUUCCUGACGCUGAGGCACGAAAGCGUGGGGAGCAAACAGGAUUAGAUACCCUGGUAGUCCACGCCGUAAACGAUGAGUACUAAGUGUCGGGAUUACUCGGUACUGAAGUUAACACAUUAAGUACUCCGCCUGAGUAGUACGUACGCAAGUAUGAAACUUAAAGGAAUUGACGGGACUCCGCACAAGCGGUGGAUCAUGUUGUUUAAUUCGAAGAUACACGAAAAACCUUACCAGGUCUUGACAUACUCUGCAAAGCUAUAGCAAUAUAGUGGAGGUUAUCAGGGAUACAGGUGGUGCAUGGUUGUCGUCAGCUCGUGUCGUGAGAUGUUAGGUUAAGUCCUAAAACGAGCGCAACCCUUGUCAUUAGUUGCCAGCAUGUCAUGAUGGGCACUUUAAUGAGACUGCCAAUGAAAAAUUGGAGGAAGGUGAGGAUCACGUCAAAUCAUCAUGCCCCUUAUGAUCUGGGCUACAAACGUGAUACAAUGGCUGUUACAAAGAGUAGCUGAAACGCAAGUUUAUAGCCAAUCUCAUAAAAGCAGUCUCAGUUCGGAUUGAAGUCUGCAACUCGACUUCAUGAAGUUGGAAUCGCUAGUAAUCGCCGAAAAUACA